rnacentral:misc_RNA from 1 species
AUUUCAGCAUGGAUAAAAAAUCCAGCCAUUUUUACAAUGGAGACAGUACAAUCUGAGUUCCAAGCAAAAGCUAAACCUCCUGCUAAGCCUUGAGGAUUAACCACAACCAUAUCCGAAAACCCACAUCUAUUGAGAAUUUUUUUGACUAAUUGGCUCUUAUUUUUUGUCUCCAUAAGAAAAAUAAAAUAUGGAGAAUGAGCAGCAUUAAGCCCUUUAAGGUUAUGGACUGUCAGGGGGUUUCCCACACCCUGACAGUUCCAUGAUAAAAGAUUUGUUGAUUUAAAUAGGGCCACUUUUGG